rnacentral:lncRNA from 1 species
AAAGUUAGGGAUAGAAGAAAGGAUGGAUUGAGGUUGUCUUCAGACUUUCCGUGAUAUCUGAGCUGUUUUCCUCUUCUGGAAUUGUGUCUUAUAUGAAGUUCCUCUUCAUUUGAG